UACGUAGGGGGCAAGCGUUGUCCGGAAUCAUUGGGCGUAAAGCGCGUGUAGGCGGCUCGAUAAGUCUGCUGUGAAAGUCCAGGGCUCAACCCUGGGAUGCCGGUGGAUACUGUGAGCUCGAGUCCGGAAGAGGUGUGUGGAAUUCCUGGUGUAGCGGUGAAAUGCGCAGAUAUCAGGAAGAACACCCGUGGCGAAGGCGGCUCUCUGGGACGGUACUGACGCUGAGACGCGAAAGCGUGGGGAGCGAACAGG
rnacentral:rRNA from 1 species